rnacentral:rRNA from 1 species
AACGUAGGAGACGAACGUUAUCCGGAGUUACUGGGCGUAAAGGGCGUGUAGGCGGUUUGUUAAGUCUGGCGUGAAAGCUCUCGGCUAAACCGGGAGAGGUCGUUGGAUACUGGCGAACUAGAGGAUGGUAGAGGCGUGUGGAAUUCCGGGUGUAGUGGUGAAAUGCGUAGAGAUCCGGAGGAACACCAGGUUCGCAGGCGACAUCCUUUGCCUGCACUGACGCUCAUGCACGAAAGCGUGGGGAGCAAACAGG